rnacentral:rRNA from 1 species
GAGCCGAGCGGCGAACGGCUGCGUAACACGUUGGUACCUGCCCUAAACUCAGGGAUAAUCCACCGAAAGGUGGACUAAUACCGGAUAGUCCUGCAAAGGUAAAGAUUUUUCGGUUUAGGAGGGGCCUGCGGCCUAUCAGCUUGUUGGUAAGGUAACGGCUUACCAAGGCUAUGACGGGUAGCUGAUCUGAGAGGAUGAUCAGCCAGAAUGGGACUGAGACACGGCCCAUACUCCUACGGGAGGCAGCAGUGAGGAAUAUUCCGCAAUGGGGGAAACCCUGACGAAGCGACACCGCGUGGAGGAUGACACCCAUUUGGGCGUAAACUCCUGUCCUGAGGGAAGAAAUUUUUGACGGUACCUCAGAAGAAAGCACCGGCUAAUUCCGUGCCAGCAGCCGCGGUAAGACGGAAGGUGCAAGCGUUACUCGGAAUUACUGGGCGUAAAGCGUCCGCAGCCGUCUAGAUCAGUCUGAUGUAAAAUCGCAGAGCUCAACUCUGCGCUCGUAUCGGAAACUGUCUAGAUUGAGUUAUAGAAGGGCAUCUGGAAUGUCAUGUGUAGGGGUAAGA